rnacentral:lncRNA from 10 species
GCACUACUUCAGGGUCCAUAACCUGAACUGAAGUCCCAGGGGAAAAGAAAAAAAGGCUAAUAUAGCCAUAAAGAAUGCUUUUAAAUCAAGUAAUACACUUGACUUAGAAAGACAAGCCAGCGGCAAUUAUAAAAUAAUGACACCUAAGAAUGUUUUCAAGAAGUCUGGUUCAUAAUGCAUUCAAACUUAAAAAAAUAUUAAAGACAACUAAAAAAAUUUUGCUCAUUUUUGGAGCAAAAAAACUACCAAAGAAGGAGCAGCUUGAGGGAAUAUUAAUGGAUUAUGAGAAGAAAAUGAAACUGAACUAUUUUGCGUUAUCCUACAAGAUGAAUGAUUAUAGAGUACAAUAGACUGACUAACCAGGAGUUGAAAGCCAGAUCAUAAGAUAUUUGAAGAGACACAGUAACCUCUCAAAAUGAGGCCAAUUUUCUUAGAUCAGACAGAGAUCUCCCUUGCAUCCAAAAACCUGGCAUACAGUUUGGGUAUCCCUUCUCCAAGAUAUGUGGGGCCAGAAAAUUUUCAGAUUUUGGAAUAUUUGCAUAUAUAUAAUGAGAUAUCAUGGGAUCAGACCCAAGUCUAAACACAAGAAUUCAUUUAUAUUUCAUAUACACCUUGUCCACGUAGCUUGAAGGGCUUUUCACUUGAGUGCUGUACAUGUGUGUCCUUCAGGUACUGAUGAAGCCUCUACAGAGCUCUCUUCUCAGCCUUGCUCUGCCAUUUCUGCUGCUACUGCAGCAGUGACACUGGAAUCCCUGAAGCAUCAAAUCUUGAAUUGGAGGAAAGUACUUCUUUCCAUAUUUUGUAAUAUGUCCUACUAAAGGAUAGCAAAGCAGAGUUGUUUGCUCCCAUCUUAGAAACUUUUAAAUAAAAUUUAGGUAUUACUUUUAAACAUAGGUCCACAGAGAAGACAAAUCUAAGUGGCAAAAAUAAUGUGUAUUCAGCGUCACUAUUCCCCAAGGAUGACAAAUGUAUGUUUUUUGCUGUAAUAUCUCCCAGUUGACUCCAUCUUCUCUUCUAUUGAAUUUUCAACCAGAGAGCUUCUUAGUUCCUUAUUCAAAUACAGUUUUGGUAGACCUAACCAGUAUUAUAUGUGCCUGAUCUAUCUAAAUCUAAUCAAGUUUGGUUUAAAUGAAAUCAAGUGUACUCACAGCCUCUCAUACCUAUUCCAUUUUUACUUUUGUACAACCACAAAAUUAGCCCAGAGUGGGGGAGUUCACUUGAUAAUUUGCUAAGUGCAAUUGCCACCACCAGUACUCUAUGAUCCAGCCCCUCCCUACCCAACAUGACAUCAUCGAUUAAAAUUCCUAAAUCAAUGCUAUUUUUUACUUAAGAAUGUAUAGUAUUUUUCUUUGACUCUUCAGAUAAAGACCCUCAAUCAAUCUACCACUCAAAUAUCUUCCUAAUAUUUACUGUAAUACGGUUUCCAUUGUUCUUUAAUUUUAGCUCUUACCUUUCUUCAUCUCAGCCCUAUAUCACGAAUAUUCUUCCUUUUCAAAUGGUCACAUUAUUUCUAAGUAUCCACCACAAUCUCUACCUUCUCUCAGAACAGUUGUGAAAUUUUAAGUUGUAUUUUUGAAAAUUUGGUAAAUCAUUUGAUGCUUAAAUAAUUGAAUAAGGUCAGGCUGUGUUUAAUAAAUGUCAGCUGUGCUUUAUGGUACGUAGGUAAAACACAAUAUGGCUUAAAGGUAAAAAUCAAACAAUUCACCCUAAGGUUAGCGUUACAAUUUUUAUUAUCCCCUUAGGUUAGCAAACCACUGAUAACAAACCCAGGUGUUACUUUGUCCUUUCUUGUUAGACUUAAACUCAGUAAUUCCAGAUUAAGUCUCAUCCUGAUAUCGUCAAAAACCCAAUUUGGCAAUUCAAUUAUACUGCCUGCCUUUUUAGAAAAAUUUCCCUUUGUCGAUGGCAUCACACUUCCAAUCUCUUUUUCAAUGGUUGCCUUCAUCCUCCUACAUGUGACUGCAACUCCUUCAAGCUACAUCAAAAAUACAGUUCUUUAAUUUUC